rnacentral:rRNA from 1 species
GACGAACGCUGGCGGCGUGCUUAACACAUGCAAGUCGAGCGAUGAAGUUCCUUCGGGAACGGAUUAGCGGCGGACGGGUGAGUAACACGUGGGUAACCUGACUCAUAGAGGGGAAUAGCCUUGCGAAAGGAAGAUUAAUACCCCAUACGAUUGUAGUACCGCAUGGUAUAGCAAUUAAAGGAGUAAUCCGCUAUGAGAUGGAACCGCGUCGCAUUAGCUAGUUGGUGAGGUAACGGCUCACCAAGGCGACGAGGCGUAGCCGACCUGAGAGGGUGAUCGGCCACAUUGGGACUGAGACACGGCCCAGACUCCUACGGGAGGCAGCAGUGGGGAAUAUUGCACAAUGGGGGAAACCCUGAUGCAGCAACGCCGCGUGAGUGAUGACGGUCUUCGGAUUGUAAAACUCUGUCUUCAGGGACGAUAAUGACGGUACCUGAGGAGGAAGCCACGGCUAACUACGUGCCAGCCGCCGCCGUAA